AACAAACGCUGGCGGCGUGCCUAAUACAUGCAAGUCGAACGGGGAAAGCUUUCGGGUGAGUACUAGUGGCGCACGGGUGAGUAACGCGUGGAUAAUCUGCCUUAGAGUGGGGGAUAACUAGUCGAAAGAUUAGCUAAUACCGCAUAAGACCACAAGAACUGCGGUGCAAGGGGUCAAAGGUUUGUCGCUCUAAGAUGAGUCCGCGUAAGAUUAGCUAGUUGGUAGGGUAACGGCCUACCAAGGCGACGAUCUUUAACUGGUCUGAGAGGAUGAUCAGUCACACUGGAACUGAGACACGGUCCAGACUCCUACGGGAGGCAGCAGUAGGGAAUAUUGCACAAUGGAGGAAACUCUGAUGCAGCGACGCCGCGUGAGUGAUGAAGGCCUUCGGGUCGUAAAGCUCUGUCGCAGGGGAAUAACACAAUGAAGGUACCCUGUAAGAAAGGAUCGGCUAACUUCGUGCCAGCCGCCGCAGUAAUAC
rnacentral:rRNA from 1 species